rnacentral:rRNA from 1 species
CCAAAAACAUGUUUUGAUGAUAAAUUGAAUAUUAAAUUUGGCCUGCCCAAUGAAUUUAUUUUAAUGGCUGCAGUAAUUUAACUGUACAAAGGUAGCAUAAUCAUUAGUUUUUUAAUUGAAAGCUAGAAUGAAUGGUUUGAUGAAAUAAGAACUUUAUUAAUUUAAUAGAUUGAAUUUCAUAUUUUAGUAAAAAAGCUAAAAUUUGUAUAUUAGACGAGAAGACCCUAUAGAUUUUUAUAAGAUUAAGUAAAAAAUAUUUUAAGGAUUUUUAAUGUUUUAUUAUUUAUAUUAUUUAAUUGGGGUGAUAGUAAAAUUUAAAUAAUUUUUAUUUAAUUAAUACAUUAAUAUAUGAAUUUUUGAUCCAAUAAAUUGAUAAAAAAAUUUAAAUACCUUAGGGAUAACAGCAUAAUUUAUUUAGAUAGUUCAUAUUGAUAAAUAAGAUUAUGACCUCGAUGUUGGAUUAAGAUAAAUUUUAGAAGUAGAAAUUUAAAAUUAAGUCUGUUCG